rnacentral:misc_RNA from 1 species
UUAAAGUUGGAGAUAUAAUAUUUGAGUUAUUUUUGUGGAUUUGAACUAGGUUAAUUACAAUUUAAUAAAUUUUAUGAGGUUUAAUCUAUUUCUUGUGUGCUUAUUUACAUGCUUUGUGAAAGGCCCCAUUAAGUUAUGCUCUUAAUCCUUGGUUAAAGGACCAAAAAAAGAAGACCAAGUGAUAGAUAAUUAAAAAAUUGGGCUUAAUUAGCUUAGAUCUAGAAAUAGACUAAGGAUUAAGAGGGUUAAUAAAUUGAUUAAAGUACCAAUAGGUCUUGAUUAAUUUUAAACUCUACGAAAGUAGGAUUUAAUUAACUAAGGCACUCUUUGAUUAACUCGAAAGAGAUUUCAAAGGAUUUUAGAAUCGGUCUUCUUUAAACCCAUAAAUUUCAUAGAUUGGGCUAGCUAGGAAAAAUUUCAAAUUGACUUGAAUAUGAAUCCUUAACUCCGGAAUCGCUUUUUAUUAAUUGUUGCUUGAAAUUUUACUUUUGAGUGCUUAGUUUACUCUAAUUUUAUUAAUUAUACAUGCAUUUUAUAUAGUUAUUUAAGUUAAAUUUCAUAGUCAUUUUAUUGAUUUGUUAGUCAUUUUUAAAUAAUUUUAUUAGUCAUUUAGUUAAAUUUUCAUAAUUGUUAAUUUCUGGACUAAUUUGUAAUUGUUGCUUUUGUUUUGUAGAUAAAAUAGUGUUUUUGAGGGAGUAAAAGGUAAUUGUGUAAGUAAAGAGUGAUUUUUUGGUCCAAAAGUACAAAAAAUGAAGUUUGAAAAUUGAAGAAUUUAGAACUUGCCGAAAUCUGUACAAGGUAUUGCACAGCCUAUACAGCUUUUGUAUAAAAAUACAAGAAAUUUUAGACUUGCUGAAAUCUACACAAGGGAGUGCACAGCCUAUGCAGGUCACUUGUGCACCUCUACGGAAGAUAAUCUAAAGCUGUCGAAACUUGCACAGCCUAUGCAGCUCGCUUGUGCACCUUUACAGAAAAUUGCCAGGACAUGCUGAAACCUGCAUAGUCUGUGCACCUUCAUGAAAAAACUUUGGAAUUUGUAAAAAGUGCACAAGAUCUUGCAUGGGCAAUGCAUGGCGUGUGCACACCUCAUUAAUUGGCUGAAGAAAGAAAUUUCUCACAUGUGUGAUUACCUCAAAUACACUAUUUUUGGGCCAACCUAGAGUUCUCUGUCAAGGGAGUAUAAAAGCCACUCUUACAUCAUUUUACUGGAAGAAGAAAGAUUGAAAAAAGGAAGGAAAAGUAUAGUAAGAGCCGACACUUCCAUUUUUGGAGUAGGAUUUGGAUUCUUCUCUUCUUCACAUUUUCUACACUUCUUCUAUCGGGUUUCUUUAGUUUUAAUUUAUUUUUCACAUUUUAUUUCUUUUUCUACACAAAAUCUCUUGUAUUAAAUAUGGAUUGUGAGUAGUUUUCUUUGAUU